rnacentral:rRNA from 1 species
UACGGGGGGGGCAAGCGUUGUUCGGAAUUACUGGGCGUAAAGGGCGCGUAGGCGGCCAGACAAAGUCGAGCGUUAAAUUCCAGGGCUUAACCCUGGGCUGUUGCUCGAUACUAGUCGGCUAGAGUGUGGAAGAGGGUGCUGGAAUUCCUGGUGUAGCGGUGAAAUGCGCAGAUAUCAGGAGGAACACCGAUGGCGAAGGCAGUUCUCUGGGCCGUAACUGACGCUGAGGAGCGAAAGCGUGGGGAGCGAACAGG